GAUAAACGCUGGCGGCGCACAUAAGACAUGCAAGUCGAACGAACUUAACUCAUUCUUAUAGAUUGAGAGCGGUUAGUGGCGGACUGGUGAGUAAUGUAUAAGUAACCUGCCUAUCAGAGGGGAACAACAGUUGGAAACGACUGCUAAUACCGCAUAUGCCAUAAGAAUCACAUGGUUCAAGUGGGAAAGGAGCAAUCCGCUGAUAGAUGGACUUAUAUCUGAUUAGCUAGUUGGUAAGGUAACGGCUUACCAAGGCGACGAUCAGUAGCCGGACUGAGAGGUUAAACGGCCACAUUGGGACUGAGAUACGGCCCAGACUCC
rnacentral:rRNA from 1 species